CAGCUGAGCUGGGAGGAGACUCCAACAGCAGCAGGAAGUGACUGUGGCUCUCCCACAAGGGCUGCCAAGCAGGAGACCACUGCUCUUACCUCAUGGUGGUUUGGACUGCAGGCUCCUCACUGCCUUUGGCCCCAGCCCUUCUGACACCAGCACCAGGUGAGUUCCUCAGAGACUUUCCUUCUUCCGCUACAAGAUCUCGGAACGAUUUUGGCAAAGCCGAGUGCAGUGGAGAUGACCUUUGAAAUUGAAGAAAGCAAACAAAGUUCACUCCAUCCCUGUGCUUUACAAGACUCCACGUCAUUGCAGGAACCACACAGGGAAGAGGUCUUUCCAGUUACUAAAACCACAGCACUCCUCAGCUGUUGCAUCUCACCACGAUGCCUGCUAGACCUGCCCCAGCAGUCUGACUUUGGGCCAGGUAGGCUAAGCAUGAGAAAACAACUAUCUCUAAGAACAGGAGCAGCCAGGACUGUAGGAACUUCAUUCAAGGGGAAAAAGGAACAAACCAAACCCCAUCCAUUCCACCCCAAAUCACAUCCUCUUACAGAGCAGUAUCAUUUUCACAGCUACUUUGCCUUUGCCAGGCUGCACCUCUUCUAACAGGGUAUCUCCUUGGGAAGCAUCCUGAUCACUCACACAGCAUUCAGGUACUUGCAUUCCACGGCUGAUGUGGACCACAGCAGGAGCCAAGUGUAGCUGAUCUUCUUUCCCCAAGACAUUGAAUGAGCUCCUCACACCUACUGGAGACUCCAUAAACCACUCAGCCCAGGGAGAAAUUCCUUAAACUGACUCUUUUUCAGUUGCUGUUGGGUUCAUUGGAUUGGGCUUUUCUGUUUGGCCGGUUUGGAUUUCUUGU